ACUGAGCUUAACUAACCUUAAAUUUUCACAAAUUUUUCUCGGCAAACUGUGCAUGUUUUAUUUGUUUUUUUAAUGUGAAAAAUAUUUAAGAAUAUGUAGGAAAGUAAGAUACACAUAGGAAAACAAAUAUUGAUAGUAUCAAUGUAAUAAUAAUCGUAGAAUAAAUCAUUUUCCAGUGAAAGACUCACGACAAGUGCAUCCGCCAUGACACCUCAAAAUUCAAUUGAAAAUUAUUUAUUCUACGAUUAUUGCUAAUCAAUCUUAGUACUAUCAAUCUUUGUUUUCUUAUGCAUAUCUUACUUUUCUACAUAUUCUUAAAUAUUUUUCACAUGGAAAAAACGAAUAAAACAUGCAUAGUUUGCCGAGGAAAAUUUGAGAGAAUUUGAGGUUAGUAAAGUCCCGCCUUAAUUCAACGGGAACAAGAAUAAAAUUAAUCAACGCAGUUAUUGUUGUCAUUGUCAGUCGUGCAUGAACAAUUUUGUAAUCUAUAAAAAGUGAUUUUUUUGGUGAAUAAACAUUAAAUCAACAGUGUUUCUAAUGAUAAAAAAAAUAAAAUGUGCUACAGAUGACAAUGUAGCUCUUGCUAAACGAUUGGUCAUUGUUGUGAAGUGAUAAAGAAAUGACAGUAAAAAUAUUAUAAAAUGUGACGAUUGACAAGAAUGCUAAAAAAGACGCCGUGACUGUGGAAGAUCAGCGAAAGGACAGUCUAUAAAACCGUGACUGUAGUAAUAAAAGGAAUUUAUUAAUUUUUUUUAUCAUUCUGUUCGUAAGAACAAAAGUAUUCACCGUACAUUUUAUUUCUCUACAUACAUGAGAUAAUAUUUGUUAAAUAGUCUAUUACGUGUUUAAAGUUGACUACUGUGAGGUAAAUUUGAUUCAACUGCAGUAACCUUUUUUUUUUUUAUUUGAGACUACAUUUUACGCUUCUGUUUUUCUCACGUUAUUGAAGUAAAAGUUUAAAGUAAAGUCGACAUUACUUCUCAAUAAAAAAUAAUUGAAAAAAGGCUUUUACCUAAGUACUUGCUCCGGUGAAAUAGCACCAGCACUACCGCUGCUUGUAUGUGCUCGAUGUCUAUAAGGGGUUGUGUGGGACGAGUGAUGAUGAGGUGCACUCGGUGGCCUCUCUACAAUUGUAUAACUAGUUCCAGGGGGGCUGUAGUACCCUCGGUUCUGACCACUUUGAUGCCUGCUAUUUCCACCAAUGGGUUCCAAGUCUUCUGCUUCAUAACAACCUGCACUGCCACCACCUCCACUUCUCAAGAAGUUGUUGCUACUUCGUAGGAAGUGCGAAGAACUCCCGCCACCCCAUUGUAACUCCUGCAGCUCUGAACCGUAGUCCUCUGUGCUGCUUGCCAUCUUAUUCGUGGGUCAAACCUGAAAAUUAAGUAUCUUCUUGAUUUUUCAUUCAAAAUAUACUUGGUUACCAUUAUGAUACAAUGAUGGAGUAUAAAAGAAGAGUCACCUUUUUUCUGAUGAUAAAAGGUACAGGUUAUAAUGAGAAAUCUAUGUGGUGAGAUGACAACUCUUUCUUCAAUUUGAUUAUACAAAAAUGUAGACAAAGAGGCUCAAGUAUAAAAUAACUUAAGAGAUAAUGCAUUUAGCAUGUAACUAGAGAAUCCGAUUCUAUUUAAGGUGUAUGCAUGGAGUAGGAGAUCUCACUGGUUACUGUUUUUGAGGAUAGAUUAACAUGUAAAGAAUACUGAUAUCCAAGAAGAGUGAAAAAAAGUGGUAUUUUCUGGGAGUUUCACGAAAUACUAUACGGUGUUGAAGACCUUAUUCUUUUUUUCCCUAUCAAUCUAUAGGUGAUGGAAACUGACAAGCAGGAGGUCAAUGGAGACUUGCCGUGACGCCGAUAUGCCAAAUCUCAGAUCAUGAUCUUUACGAAGCUCGUACUGGUAAUUGGAUGACUUCCUGCUGUUUCCACCUACGUCCGUUGGUAAAUGGCAAUUGUAGAAUAUGUAACCUUGACAGUGAUAACAAUCUUUUGACUGAACAGCAAUAAUUGAGUAGGUGUUUCUUUCCCAUUCAACCCUUUCGCCAACAUAUGCGUAUUGUUGAUUUAUUGAUUAUUGGGACGAUAAAUUAUUUUAGGUAUUUGUCAAGUGCAAGUGAUGACCAAUUGAUACAAGCAAGCAUUGAAGAAAAGCUUAGACAUUUGCUACUGGGUCACAUUCCUUAAGUAGAGUGUUUAUAGUGUGGUCUGUCUUCGAGCACGAGUUCUCUCGUGGGAAUUAACCACGUGUUCUACCUCUUAAACUUAGCGACGUGAAAUCAAUGAUGUUUCAAAGUAUACAGGCUGAAAUAAAAGUUGAGGUUACUCAAUGAGAUCACGAAUGGAAAAAAUUGAUAAAAUAUUUCUUAGGUAUCGCGUGUAUUCGAGAAGGUUGUAACGUCCAAGCUGACUGCAGUAGCAAUAUUUCACGAACAUCCGGGUGCUUCCUCUGUCUCUCUUGUAUUUUAGCUUCUAGUUUGAGUGCACACGAUUAGUAAGCACCAGGUGCAUUGUAAAAUCUUCAUAUCCCAUGUAUGUUACGUUUUUCUCUAUAUUAUUACUUAUGCUUUUAGCAUCAACUUUUGGGGUUUUCAUACAAUGUUAUAUAAAUUAUAAUUCCAUUUUUGUUGCUCAUCAUUUACAGUCCAUUUUAAUUCUAAAAACAACCUAGACUCAUUUGAAUUUUAACUAUUGUAUUAUCAUGUGAAAAGAAAAAAUUUAUAAUCAAGUUCAAUCCUAUAUUAAAUACAAAAAAAGGUAGUUUGUUGAAAGGAUUGUUCAUGAAGAAUAAAUCAUUUAUAUCUUUAAUCGCUAUUUAAAUAUAAUAUAUGACUUAAUGUGGAAAAAAUAUCAAAGUGCUCCAUAUUAUUAGUUUAUUUUAUAUGUGAUAAAGUAUAAAUUCAUUACUGAUAAACUGUUAGAUAUUUGUGAUUAGUUUCCAUUAUCAUUGUUGUUAGUUUACUGUAUGUGACGAUCGAUAUAAUAAUAACAGCUCCUUGAUUGAGAGAAUUUCAUUUUGGUUGAGAUAUUUGAUAUAUAGUUUGUGCUUGUUUGUGGUUUAGAAUCGUCCUCUUCUAUUUUAAGGUCGCUAUUGAUUCCUACUCUAUGUUGAAUCGACAUAUAAUGCAGAAUCUCCGAGUCUUAUUAAUUCUUCAGAUCUUCGUAGCCUUUAGGGUUUUGAACAAUCAAUCUCCCUCUUUUUUCUCUCGUCAGAAUCUUGAUGAAAAAAAAUACAAUAGAAAAAUAAGGCAAAAAUGUUACGUAAAAUUUGAUGAGAGUAAAAUAACAAUAGUUUAAGAUUUAUUACUUUGACAAUCUCAUUAAUUUUCUGUCACAGAUUCGAUUGAAUGAAAAUAUUAGCUCGUUACUCUAUAAAUUGAAUAAAUGUCUCAAUCACAAGCAUGUGAAAGGCUUCAUUUGACGUCUAAUCUUUCUUAUUUAUUUGUUUUGUUCAUGAAAAGAUUGUUUCUAUUUUCGGUCUUUAGGAAAGAUAGAAGAAGUAAGAAAGGAAAAUUUUUUAAAAUUGUUAUGUCAUUUAAAAAUAAAUAAAAAUAGAAAAAAAAAAGUGUGAAUUAAAUUUUCUUUAAGUGGAUAUGGAUGUAAGAUGGAAUGAAAAAGCAAUCAGGGUCAUAUUUGAAAGAGACAGACAAGCCAAUUUCCUGUCACGUAUCAUUUCUAUCUCUUCGUGCGUACCACAAUCUACCAAUCUUUGACAUUAUGAUAAAUGUUUAGAACUAACUGUCUGAAAAUUUUGCGUGUUAAAUAUCAAAUUGUUUUUCUUUUUCACGUU